rnacentral:tRNA from 1 species
GGAGAGGUGGCUGAGUGGCCGAAAGCGGCGCUUUGCUAAAGCGUUGAAGGUGUAAAAGCCUUCCGGGGGUUCGAAUCCCCCCCUCUCCGCCA